GACGAACGCUGGCGGCGUGCUUAACACAUGCAAGUCGAACGGAAAGGCCCUGCUUUUGUGGGGUGCUCGUGUGGCGAACGGGUGAGUAACACGUGAGUAACCUGCCCUUGACUUUGGGAUAACUUCAGGAAACUGGGGCUAAUACCGGAUAGGAGCUCCUGCUGCAUGGUGGGGGUUGGAAAGUUUCGGCGGUUGGGGAUGGACUCGCGGCUUAUCCGCUUGUUGGUGGGGUAGUGGCUUACCAAGGCUUUGACGGGUAGCCGGCCUGGGAGGGUAACCGGGCACAUUGGGACUGCGGUACGGACCAGAAGCCUACGGGAGGCAGCAGUGGGGAAUAUGGCGGAAUGGGCGGAAGCCUGAUGCGGCAACGCCGCGUGCGGGAUGACGGGCUUCGGGUUGUAAACCGCUUUCGCCUGUGACGAAGCGUGAGUGACGGUAAUGGGUAAAGAAGCACCGGCUAACUACGUG
rnacentral:rRNA from 1 species